rnacentral:lncRNA from 1 species
AUUGUCUCUGUCUCUCUCUUUCUCCUCUGCUUCCCCUCACCCCACAACCAAAGUCAAGAGCGCAGACCCCAUGUGCUCCUGCCUGAUUGUAUCUACUUAACCCACUCUCCAAGAGCCAGAAUCAGAUUUCAACCGUAUGGAAUCAUCUACAAUGCAGCAGAUGGGUUUACAAGUCUCUUGGUCUCUUCAUGAAGAAGGCGCAGCAAUCGUGUCCCAAGUCCUUGAGGACUUCACAGGGUGUUCUAGUGUCCUGAGAAUAUACCUGCCUAAGGAAUUUGGCUAUAGCUGGUAUUGGGUUCCUCAAACCAGCCCACCUGCGCUAUGGGAAUGUCAAAAUUGUCCUGGCAAGCUGAGGGGGCAUCCAGAGGUCACCCAGCUUUCCCCUGAAGCGUUGCUCAGAGGCCACUGUACCAUAAAAGGGAGUUCCCAUCCCACACUGGUUCUGAAA